rnacentral:lncRNA from 1 species
AAAACCCUUACCAGAUAUCAGUACCACACCCUUGAGCCUCCAACAUGGAGGGCUGAGUAAACUCUACUGAGCACAGGCCACACAGUUUACAGGGCUGAGCUCCGUGUAGAGAUGAACUAAAGGCCUGCAGGCCCAGGGAUUUGAAGAGGCUGAGGAAGGAAGAUCACAAAUUUAAGGGCAGCUCAAGCUCCAGAGCCAGUUCAAGGCCAGACAAGAGUACAUGAGGACCUGGGCACACACCUCAGCAUCCAUUCACAGAAUCCUGUACAGUAGUACACACUUGUGAUCCCAGCACUGAGGUGAGACCAUGGAGGUACCUGGGUUUGCCCAUCUAGCUUAGCCUAACCAGGUGAGCCCCAGGCCAGGAGGAGACUCCAUCUCAAACAACUGUGGGCAGCAUGGAAGGAGGAGCCAAGCCCGAGUUUGUUCUAUUUCCAUGCAAAUAUACACAUCGCCUAUCAGCCUUGGUCAUGCCAUUUUGAAGUCUCUCCCUUUGGGUUAAGUGAUGGCAAUUUCCACCACAGAAGUCAGCACUGCAGACUUGGUUUCCUGGAUCCUGCCCUGCCCCUGCAUCCCUCUGAUGAUGGCUGAUCAGGAGGGAUGCUUAUCCAUCACCGGAUGUUUGCUCAUUUGCUGCUCACUGUUCUUUGGUCACUCCUGCCAGUGGCCAAUCUGGAACUGGAAAGGACUAAUAACAGCCUCCUUCCCAGCCUCUCCACCUUCUGCCCUGUAAUUACUUUAGCUUGUAAGCAGACGUCAGACCCUGAUUCUUAUACCGAUGCACUCUGUCUUCUCCCAG